rnacentral:rRNA from 1 species
CAGCCUAUCGUGAUCCGCGGCUGUCGUAGGGUGGCCGCGGGAUGAACGAUAUAGGCGUGCCGUUCCACGGCUGGACGCCGUCCCUAAGUCCCUAUGAAGAGGGCUCGAGACAGGGUGAAAGACCCGUAAGGGGGGCGUGUGUGCCGGCCGGGAGUGGUGCGUCUUGGAGUAGGGUUGCUUGAAAGUGCAGCCCAAAGAGGGUGGUAAACCUCAUCUAAGGCUAAAUAGUGCCACGAAUCCGAUAGCAAACAAGUACCGUGAGGGAAAGUUGCAAAGUACUUUGAAGAGAGAGUUCAAUAGAACGUGAAACCGUUAUGCUGGAAGCAAAUGAAACCGAAGGCAAGCCGUGCCAUUCCUUUGGAUAGGUGGUUGUUUGGUUUGGCGGGUGCGUUCCCUCGGGGGCGUGCUCGUCGGGCUCGACGGCUGCUGGUCUGAUUGAUUUGGUGCGGUAUGCUCUUGAGAACCGCGGCGUCCGUGUCUCGCCCUCACGUUGGCUCCUAACCGUCGCCGGUUAGCGAGACGGCGGAGGCGCGUGGACUACCGACGCUGCGGGGCUACGUCGCUUACUUGCGUCCCCAUGUCGCUGUCGUCGGCUCGUGGCUGUACUGCUUGCAGUGCACUGCGACCGGUGGCUGUCGGGAGGGGCGCGAUUCCGCGGCGGGCUCUCGGGAGUGCCGUCGGUGCAUUAUUUGACCCGUCUUGAAACACGGACCAAGGAGUUUAGCAUGAUCGCGAGUCAUUGGGCGCGUAAAACCCAUUGGCGCAAUGAAAGUGAGUCACGCGAUCUGGUGAUUUUCGAAUCGUCAGCGCAGCGUGGCCCCAUGGCAAGGCCUUGGCCUACUGUGGAGGCUGAGCGAUCACGCUUAGACCCGAAAGAUGGUGAACUAUGCUUGUGCAGCCUGAAGCCAGAGGAAACUCUGGUGGAGGGGCGAAGCGGUUCUGACGUGCAAAUCGAUCGUCUGACGUGAGCAUAGGGGCGAAAGACUAAUCGAACCAUCUAGUAGCUG